GCUCUCUCGCUAUAUAAAACUCAGGAGCAGACAGGUAUUUUCUCAGAGGCAGGUUGUUCGGUAGUUUCUACCGGACUUCCAGAAGAUGGGCACAGGUAGUGGGACGCGAAUACCACUAUGGAUAUCAAUACUAGCACUUGCCUUUACACAGACCAAAGUUCAAGUCCAGGGCGAAGAACAACAAUCACAAUCAAACUAUGAUUCUCUAUCCUUCCUGCAGAGAAAAAACAGUCUUUCACUGGGUACUAAAUCCCAUGGAUUGACAAUCAUUCCACCUCUUCAAAACACACUGAACGUAAAGGGUAAGUUCAACAAAUGUCAUGGCUCAGAUAUAUAUUUGUUGAUCAAACAGGCAGAAAGAAUAUGGAGUGAACUGAACAGAUUGGUAAAUUGUGUAAGAUCUUUUAGCCUCAUAGAAUAUAAAAUGAACAAGAAAAGUAGUCAGUUCAUCAAAUAAUGAUAAUCUAUAUGUGGCUUGAUGCUCAGCUUGUAUAUUGUUAAUAUGAUGAGGCUGAAAAAAAAAACAGAACAAAUGUAAUACUUGGAUAAAUCAUGCACACUAUUUCCAGUAAAGAAAGGGAAACGAUAAUGUGCUCAAAAUAUUGGUGAGAUACCUUAUCUUGGCAACCUAAGAGGAGGGUAUCUAUGGCAAAUUGCAGAAAAUUCUUAUGGCUCAUUUUGAAUCCACAGCUGGCAACCCCUCUCACAAUGGCCGUGUGUGCAGCACAUGGGGUAACUUCCACUUCAAGAACUUCGACGGGGACAUCUUUUAUUUCCCUGGGGUCUGCAAUUACAUCUUUGCAUCCAACUGCAAAUCUUCCUAUGAGGAUUUCAACAUCCAGAUUAGGCGUACAAUGGUGGAAAAUGCUACCAUGAUCACCCACGUCAUCAUGAAGCUGGAAGGAGCAGUGGUUGAACUGACCCGCACAUCCGUCCUGGUCAAUGGCCAACAGUAUGUUCAUAUCUUCUGCUAUGAACUGAAAUUGCCAUGACUGCCCUUGUUCUCAGAAGGCUCUUUGAGCAAGCAUCCCUUUCUUUCAUCUCAUCUCUUAUUGCUCCCACGCAGCUGUAGGACUCAUGUCCUUCCUGAGGCCCCAGCAAAAAUAAGAGGGUCUGACAGUGAGCUGUCAUUUCUACAGAUUAUUCUUGUGUUCAUUUUAUUCAGAUGAUCUGUAACCCAGAUGCUGUCCCCCUCUAGUAUAAACAUAUAUAUAUAAAUAUAUAUACAAUCAAAUGUAUAAGUUGGAUUUAGUCAAAGUGUUAGGCUUUUACACCCUUUAAGUUUCUACUUUCCAUUAACUUCACAUGAACAGGAGCCCUGCAAUGAAUUUCUGACUGUUCUUGUCCUUGCUCUGAAGACUGUGCAGUUAAGCACACUGCAACUGUAGCUUGCACCUGGGCUCAUUUUAAACAAGCUAGUCUGGGAACUUCCUAUCUAUGUAGUAAUGAUAGCAUUGAUUUUGGCAAAGGGUGUGAAACUUGUCCAAAAGUUUGGGUAAAUAUUUGGACAGCUAUGCCACAAUGAUAUAUGUAUUACAGCAGCUAUAUAUGGCAAGCUAGUAGAAAGGCUAUCUGGAGUACAUCUUUGUGAAUGGCACUCAUGCCACAGAAAGCACGAAGAGUAUCUCUUUAUUAUCAAGAGCUUUAAGGAAUAAAUAGUAAUAUCAUGAAGCAUAAUGCCUGCAAAACAGAACUUCCCAGAACGUUUUUGAACAAUAUAACUGAAGACAUGCCAACAUUUCA
rnacentral:lncRNA from 1 species